rnacentral:rRNA from 1 species
CCCUUAGAUGUUCUGGGCCGCACGCGCGCUACACUGAUGCAUUCAACGAGCCUAUCCUUGACCGACAGGUCCGGGUAAUCUUUGAAUCUGCAUCGUGACGGGGAUAGAUUAUUGCAAUUAUUAAUCUUCAACGAGGAAUGCCUAGUAGGCGCAAGUCAUCAGCUUGCGUCGAUUACGUCCCUGCCCUUUGUACACACCGCCCGUCGCUCCUACCGAUUGAAUGCUCAGGUGAGCCAUUCGGACUUUCAUCAUGCUGGUUUCCAGUUUUGAUGAAGGAAAGUCUUGCGAACCUUAUCAUUUAGAGGAAGGAGAAGUCGUAACA